CGUUUGCGGCGGGCUUAACACAUGCAAGUCGAACGAGAAUCCCUUCGGGGAGGAAAGUGGCGCACGGGUGCGUAACACGUGGAUAACCAACCAUUGGUUUGGGACAACACCGGGAAACUGGUGCUAAUACCAGAUGUGUCGCAGCUGUCUUCAGGCGGUUGCGAGAAAGGCCCGCAAGGGUCGCCAACGGACGGGUCCGCGUCCCAUCAGCUAGUUGGUGAGGUAAUGGCUCACCAAGGCAAAGACGGGUAGCUGGUCUGAGAGGAUGAUCAGCCACACUGGAACUGAGACACGGUCCAGACUCCUACGGGAGGCAGCAGGUGGGGAAUAUUGCGCAAUGGGACGAAAGCCUGACGCAGCCACGCCGCGUGAGCGAUGAAGGUCUUCGGAUACGUAAAGCUCUGUGGGGGGAGAAGAAGAAAAGCCGGUGAAGAGCCGGCCCUGACGGUAUCCCCUUAGCAAGCACCGGCUAACUCCGUG
rnacentral:rRNA from 1 species